rnacentral:rRNA from 1 species
UACGGAAGGGGCGAGCGGUGUUCGGAAUUAUUGGGCGUAAGGGGCGCGCAGGCGGUCUCAUAUGUCUGCUGUGAAAUCACACGGCUCAACCGUGUUUAGCCGCAGAAACUGUGAGACUUGAGGCUGGGAGGGGCUGGUGGAAUUCCCCGUGUAGCGGUGAAAUGCGUAGAGAUGGGGGAGAACACUCGUGGCGAAGGCGGCCAGCUGGACCAGUUCUGACGCUGAGGCGCGAAAGCGUGGGGAGCAAACAGG